UAUAACAAUCAAAACCGCAUGGUUUUGAUUUGAAAGGCGCUUUCGGGUGUCGCUGAUGGAUGGACCCGCGGUGCAUUAGCUAGUUGGUGAGGUAACGGCUCACCAAGGCCACGAUGCAUAGCCGACCUGAGAGGGUGAUCGGCCACAUUGGGACUGAGACACGGCCCAAACUCCUACGGGAGGCAGCAGUAGGGAAUCUUCGGCAAUGGACGAAAGUCUGACCGAGCAACGCCGCGUGAGUGAAGAAGGUUUUCGGAUCGUAAAACUCUGUUGUUAGAGAAGAACAAGGAUGAGAGUAACUGUUCAUCCCUUGACGGUAUCUAACCAGAAAGCCACGGCUAACUACGUGCCAGCAGCCGCGGUAAUACGUAGGUGGCAAGCGUUGUCCGGAUUUAUUGGGCGUAAAGCGAGCGCAGGCGGUUUCUUAAGUCUGAUGUGAAAGCCCCCGGCUCAACCGGGGAGGGUCAUUGGAAACUGGGAGACUUGAGUGCAGAAGAGGAGAGUGGAAUUCCAUGUGUAGCGGUGAAAUGCGUAGAUAUAUGGAGGAACACCAGUGGCGAAGGCGGCUCUCUGGUCUGUAACUGACGCUGAGGCUCGAAAGCGUGGGGAGCAAACAGGAUUAGAUACCCUGGUAGUCCACGCCGUAAACGAUGAGUGCUAAGUGUUGGAGGGUUUCCGCCCUUCAGUGCUGCAGCUAACGCAUUAAGCACUCCGCCUGGGGAGUACGACCGCAAGGUUGAAACUCAAAGGAAUUGACGGGGGCCCGCACAAGCGGUGGAGCAUGUGGUUUAAUUCGAAGCAACGCGAAGAACCUUACCAGGUCUUGACAUCCUUUGACCACUCUAGAGAUAGAGCUUCCCCUUCGGGGGCAAAGUGACAGGUGGUGCAUGGUUGUCGUCAGCUCGUGUCGUGAGAUGUUGGGUUAAGUCCCGCAACGAGCGCAACCCUUAUUGUUAGUUGCCAUCAUUCAGUUGGGCACUCUAGCAAGACUGCCGGUGACAAACCGGAGGAAGGUGGGGAUGACGUCAAAUCAUCAUGCCCCUUAUGACCUGGGCUACACACGUGCU
rnacentral:rRNA from 1 species